ACCUUGCUGACGAGUGCCAAGUAGUACGAAACCCGGGUCCAAGGU
rnacentral:hammerhead_ribozyme from 1 species